CCUACGGGGUGCAGCAGUCGAGAAUCAUUCACAAUGGGGGAAACCCUGAUGGUGCGACGCCGCGUGGGGGAAUGAAGGUCUUCGGAUUGUAAACCCCUGUCAUGUGGGAGCAAAUUAAAAAGAUAGUACCACAAGAGGAAGAGACGGCUAACUCUGUGCGAGCAGCCGCGGUAAUACAGAGGUCUCAAGCGUUGUUCGGAAUCACUGGGCGUAAAGGGUGCGUAGGCUGUUUCGUAAGUCGUGUGUGAAAGGCGCGGGCUCAACCCGAGGACGGCAGAUGAUACUGCGAGACUAGAGUAAUGUAGGGGGAACCGGAAUUCGCGGUGUAGCAGUGAAAUGCGUAGAUAUCGAGAGGAACACUCGUGGCGAAGGCGGGUUCCUGGACAUUAACUGACGCUGAGGCACGAAGGCCAGGGGAGCGAAAGGGAUUAGAUACCCGUGUAGUC
rnacentral:rRNA from 1 species